UAGGGAAUCUUCCGCAAUGGACGAAAGUCUGACGGAGCAACGCCGCGUGAGUGAAGAAGGAUUUCGGUUCGUAAAACUCUGUUGUUAGGGAAGAAAAAAUGUAUAGUAACUAUAUACAAAAGAGACGGUACCUAACCAGAAAGCCACGGCUAACUACGUGCCAGCAGCCGCGGUAAUACGUAGGUGGCAAGCGUUGUCCGGAAUUAUUGGGCGUAAAGCGCGCGCAGGUGGUUUAGAAAGUCUGAUGUGAAAGCCCACGGCUCAACCGUGGAGGGUCAAUGGAAACUAAUAAACUUGAGUGCAGGAGAGAAAAGUGGAAUUCCUAGUGUAGCGAUGAAAUGCGUAGAGAUUAGGAGGAACACCGGUGGCGAAAGCGGCUUUUUGGCCUGCAACUGACACUGAGGCGCGAAAGCGUGGGGAGCAAACAGG
rnacentral:rRNA from 1 species